AUACGGAGGGGGCUAGCGUUGUUCGGAAUUACUGGGCGUAAAGCGCGUGUAGGCGGAUCGUUAAGUCAGGGGUGAAAGCCCGGGGCUCAACCCCGGAACUGCCCUUGAUACUGGCGAUCUAGAGUCCGGAAGAGGUGGGCGGAAUUCCCGGUGUAGAGGUGAAAUUCGUAGAUAUCCGGAGGAACACCAGUGGCGAAGGCGGCUCACUGGUCCGGCACUGACGCUGAGACGCGAAAGCGUGGGGAGCAAACAGGAUUAGAUACCCUAGUAGUCC
rnacentral:rRNA from 1 species